GACCUCGUAGCUCAGAUGGCUAGAGCGUUGGCUGUACGUAGGCCUUCCCCUUGCUGGCGUGGGCUCGAAUCCCACCGAGGCCG
rnacentral:tRNA from 1 species